rnacentral:rRNA from 1 species
CAGUGGGGAAUAUUGGACAAUGGGCGCAAGCCUGAUCCAGCCAUGCCGCGUGAGUGAUGAAGGCCCUAGGGUUGUAAAGCUCUUUCACCGGUGAAGAUAAUGACGGUAACCGGAGAAGAAGCCCCGGCUAACUUCGUGCCAGCAGCCGCGGUAAUACGAAGGGGGCUAGCGUUGUUCGGAAUUACUGGGCGUAAAGCGCACGUAGGCGGGUAUUUAAGUCAGGGGUGAAAUCCCAGAGCUCAACUCUGGAACUGCCUUUGAUACUGGGUACCUAGAGUAUGGAAGAGGUAAGUGGAAUUCCGAGUGUAGAGGUGAAAUUCGUAGAUAUUCGGAGGAACACCAGUGGCGAAGGCGGCUUACUGGUCCAUUACUGACGCUGAGGUGCGAAAGCGUGGGGAGCAAACAGGAUUAGA